rnacentral:rRNA from 1 species
AUUGAACGCUGGCGGCAUGCCUUACACAUGCAAGUCGAACGGCAGCACGGGAGCAAUCCUGGUGGCGAGUGGCGAACGGGUGAGUAAUGUAUCGGAACGUACCUUUCAGUGGGGGAUAACGUAGCGAAAGUUACGCUAAUACCGCAUAUUCUGUGAGCAGGAAAGCAGGGGAUCGCAAGACCUUGCGCUCUGGAGCGGCCGAUGUCGGAUUAGCUAGUUGGUGGGUAAAGGCCUACCAAGGCGACGAUCCGUAGCGGGUCUGAGAGGAUGAUCCGCCACACUGGGACUGAGACACGGCCCAGACUCCUACGGGAGGCAGCAGUGGGGAAUUUUGGACAAUGGGCGGAAGCCUGAUCCAGCCAUGCCGCGUGAGUGAAGAAGGCCUCGGUUGUAAGACUCUUCGUCGGGAGGAAGUAG